CCUCCUUAAACGAAGCCGAAUGCUUCGGUCAGAGUCCACACGAAUUACUUGGUUGAUUAAUAAAGAGAGCAGAUGGGUCUAUCAGGCCCGUACCAUUGGGUCUGUAGCUCAGGUGGUUAGAGCGCACCCCUGAUAAGGGUGAGGUCGGUGGUUCAAGUCCACCCAGACCCACCAAAAUUGCUCAACUCCUGGAGUUGGACAAUUUGAGGUAGCUUAAAUGGGGCUAUAGCUCAGCUGGGAGAGCGCCUGCC
rnacentral:misc_RNA from 1 species